rnacentral:rRNA from 1 species
GAUCCUGGCUCAGGAUGAACGCUGGCGGCGUGCUUAAUACAUGCAAGUCGAACGAAGCACCUUGGACAGAAUCCUUCGGGAGGAAGACCAUUGUGACUGAGUGGCGGACGGGUGAGUAACGCGUGGGUAACCUGCCUUGUACAGGGGGAUAACAGUUUGAAACGACUGCUAAUACCGCAUAAGCGCACAGUACCGCAUGGUACGGUGUGAAAAACUCCUGUGGUACAAGAUGGACCCGCGU